rnacentral:piRNA from 1 species
UGCAAGUUCAUAAAUGUAGCCAGGGUAAA